GAUGAACGCUGGCGGCGUGCCUAAUACAUGCAAGUCGAGCGAACGGACGAGAAGCUUGCUUCUCUGAUGUUAGCGGCGGACGGGUGAGUAACACGUGUAUAACCUACCUAUAAGACUGGUAUAACUUCGGGAAACCGGAGCUAAUACCGGAUAAUAUUUUGAACCGCAUUGUUCAAAAGUGAAAGACGGUCUUGCUGUCACUUAUAGAUGGAUCCGCGCUGCAUUAGCUAGUUGUUAAGGUAACGGCUUACCAAGGCAACGAUGCAUAGCCGACCUGAGAGGGUGAUCGGCCACACUGGAGCUGAGACACGGUCCAGACUCCUGCGGGAGGCAGCAGUAGGGAAUCUUACGCAGUGGGCGAAAGCCUGACGGAGCAGCGCCGCGUGAGUGAUGAAGGUCUUCGGAUCGUAAAACUCUGUUAUUAGGGAAGAACAUAUGUGUAAGUAACUGUGCACAGCUUGACGGUAACUAAUCAGAAAGCCACGGCUAACUACGUG
rnacentral:rRNA from 1 species